GCCCGGGUGGCGGAACUGGCAGACGCACGGGACUUAAAAUCCCGAGGCCGCAAGGCCAUGAGAGUUCGAUCCUCUCCCCGGGCACCA
rnacentral:tRNA from 1 species